UGGGGAAUAUUGGACAAUGGGCGAAAGCCUGAUCCAGCCAUGCCGCGUGAGUGAUGAAGGCCCUAGGGUUGUAAAGCUCUUUCACCGGUGAAGAUAAUGACGGUAACCGGAGAAGAAGCCCCGGCUAACUUCGUG
rnacentral:rRNA from 1 species